GGAAUAUUGCACAAUGGAGGAAACUCUGAUGCAGCGACGCCGCGUGAGCGAUGAAGGCCUUCGGGUUGUAAAGCUCUGUGAUAUGGGAAGAUAAUGACGGUACCAUAUCAGAAAGGACCGGCUAACUUCGUGCCAGCAGCCGCGGUAAUACGAGGGGUCCAAGCGUUGUUCGGAAUUACUGGGCGUAAAGCGGGUGUAGGCGGCUGUUUUAGUCGGAUGUGAAAGCCCAGGGCUCAACCCUGGAAGUGCAUCCGAUACUGGACAGCUUGAGUACUGGAGAGGGAAGUGGAAUUCCUGGUGUAGCGGUGAAAUGCGUAGAUAUCAGGAGGAACAUCGGUGGCGAAGGCGGC
rnacentral:rRNA from 1 species